GCCCCUGUAGCUCAGCCUGGAUUAGAGCACAACCUUGCGGAGGUUGGGGUCCUCGGUUCAAAUCCGAGCUGGGGCG
rnacentral:tRNA from 1 species